rnacentral:rRNA from 1 species
AACGAACGCUGGCGGCAUGCCUAACAUAUGCAAGUCGAACGAGACCUUCGGGUCUAGUGGCGCACGGGUGCGUAACGCGUGGGAACCUGCCCUUAGGUUCGGAAUAACUCCCCGAAAGGGGUGCUAAUACGGGAAAAGGUCUCGGAACAAAAGAUUUAUCGCCUUUGGAUGGGCCCGCGUUGGAUUAGCUAGUUGGUAGGGUAAAAGCCUACCAAGGCGACGAUCCAUAGCUGGUCUGAGAGGAUGAUCAGCCACACUGGGACUGAGACACGGCCCAGACUCCUACGGGAGGCAGCAGUGGGGAAUAUUGGACAAUGGGCGAAAGCCUGAUCCAGCAAUGCCGCGUGAGUGAUGAAGGCCUUAGGGUUGUAAAGCUCUUUUACCCGGGAUGAUAAUGACAGUACCGGGAGAAUAAGCUCCGGCUAACUCCGUG